ensembl:lncRNA
ACUGUGGGGAAUUGUGUUCAAGGGCAUGAGUGAGAUCAGGCCCUGAUGUCGAAUGAGGAGGUCUGGGAUGCAGUUCAUCCCAAAAGGUGUUCAGUGAGGUUGAGGGAUGCUGAAUGUGCUGUUCCGGCAUUGGCCAGAGGUGAUGUAAUACCCUCUAAAUAAUGCAUGGCCUUAAGAAAGUGAAAGACCAUGAGGCAGAAAGCACAGGCAGAGGAAAUCGAUGUCAGUGUGAGAGAGAGGGAAACCUGCAAGAGUCUGGGCAGAAGACAGCAUCACACAGAAAGAAAUAGCAACAGACAGUGGAGAACCCCACCUCAGAACAACGGGAUGAUCUGACCACCUCCAAAACCAGGAUGUUGAAGCCUUGGGUGGACCAUUGCUCCGUACACCACAUUUCAGUCCCUUUCAUUGAGAUAUUGCUGCCUCCUGACUUGAACGCAUGCAACACCUAAGCUAAACAACACCAUGAUGGGAUCGAACCACCAUUCUUAGCCACCACUUUUCUUAAAACAACAGAGACA